UGUUUGUUAAAACUAGAGACCCUGAAUAUCUUUAACAAGAUCCUGAAGUGAUUAGCACAGGCAUUAAUAAUGAGAACCAUUAAGAGGGAGGACUUGUUAAAACAGAGAUCACGCAGUCGCACCCCAGCGUUUCAGAUUUAAUUUGUCUGGAGUGUAGCCUAGGCGUUGAGAUAUUUAAGAGCUCCUCAAGGAAUUCCACUGUGAAGGGAAGUUUCAGAGACAGCAAUACGGAGCUCUUCUGCUAUACGGAGUACCUGCAGGAGAUUUAGCAAGUUUGGUCAGAGGAAACCCAAUCCACAUUGGAACAAGGCUUCUUAAGACAUGGAUAUAAUUUGGUGAGCCUCUCUCAAGAAAGACUGAGUGACCUGUUCUUAUCAUCAAAUAUGGAUUCUUUGUAUUGGCUUUUUUAAAAUAUAGAGAUUUAUUUAUUUAUUUACUCAUAUUGGCCUUUUAAGUAUGAAUUUUAUUGUGUGUUUUGCUGCAUGAUGAGCAGCCCUCCUAAGUUAGCUGAAUAAAAAGUCCAAUUAAAUUCCCUGAAACAAAAGAUUCAAAUCUUACUGUUUUUCAAAAUAAUAUUUCCUAGUUAUACCCCAUGGAAGAAAUAAUCACUAAAGAUUAUUUUUAAUGUACUUUUAAACUCUCUUUUUUAAUUUCAAUAGAUUUAGGGGUUCAACAUAUAAAGAUUCA